CUUGUCUAAACAGAGGAGGUGAGCUGCUUCUCCCUGGGCCUGUCUAAACAGAGAGGGUGAGCUGCUUCUCCCUGGGCCUGUCUAAACAGAGGAGGUGAGCUGCUUCUCCCUGGGCCUGUCUAAACAGAGGGGGUGAGCUGCUUCUCCCUGGGCUUGUCUAAACAGAGGAGGUGAGCUGCUUCUCCCUGGGCCUGUCUAAAGAGAGGGGGUGAGCUGCUUCUCCCUGGGCCUGUCUAAACAGAGGAGGUGAGCUGCUUCUCCCUGGACCUGUCUAAACAGAGGAGGUGAGCUGCUUCUCCCUGGGCCUGUCUAAACAGAGGAGGUGAGCUGCUUCUCCCUGGGCCUGUCUAAACAGAGGAGGUGAGCUGCUUCUCCCUCGGCCUGUCUAAACAGAGGAGGUGAGCUGCUUCUCCCUGGGCCUGUCUAAACAGAGGAGGUGAGCUGCUUCUCCCUGGGCCUGUCUAAACAGAGGAGGUGAGCUGCUUCUCCCUGGGCCUGUUUACAGGAGCAAUAGUCAGUCCACCACCAAAAGGCUUAGCAGGAGGCUGCCUGUUUACAGGUACAGUAGUCAGUCCACCACCAAAAGGCUUAGCAGGAGGCUGCCUGUUUACAGGUACAGUAGUCAGUCCACCACCAAAAGGCUUGGCAGGAGGCUGCCUGUUUACAGGUACAGUAGUCAGUCCACCACCAAUAGGCUUGGCAGGAGGCUGCCUGUUUACAGGUGCAGUAGUCAGUCCACCACCAAUAGGCUUGGCAGGAGGCUGCCUGUUUACAGGAACAGUAGUCAGUCCACCACCAAUAGGCUUGGCAGGAGGCUGCCUGUUUACAGGAGCAGUAGUCAGUCCACCACCAAUAGGCUUGGCAGGAGGCUGCCUGUUUACAGGAACAGUAGUCAGUCCACCACCAAUAGGCUUGGCAGGAGGCUGCCUGUUUACAGGAACAGUAGUCAGUCCACCACCAAUAGGCUUGGCAGGAGGCUGCCUGUUUACAGGUGCAGUAGUCAGUCUACCACCAAAAGGCUUGGCAGGAGGCUGCCUGUUUACAGGUGCAGUAGUCAGUCCACCACCAAUAGGCUUGGCAGGAGGCUGCCUGUUUACAGGAACAGUAGUCAGUCCACUUGCUUUGGCAAUGUUAACAUAUGUUUCCCAUGCCAAUAAAGCCCCUUGAAUUGAAUUGAUAGGGAAUAAGAGAGUGACAGAGAGAGAGAGAGAUAAAUCAUUUGUGUGGUUAAACAUUUAUAACAUCUAUAACAAGACUACAUGUUGUGUCUGUAAUAAGGCUAAUGUAGAGGACCAUGUGAAAUAUUUAUCUGAUGCUGUGAAUAUGCCUCUCUCUCUGUCUUUAGCUCUCUCCCUCUGUAUCUCUCCCUCUCUCUCUCUGUCUCUCUCCCUCUCUCUCUGUCUCUAGCUCUGUCUCUGUCUCUCUCCCUCUCUCUCUCUGUCUCUCUCCCGCUUUCUGUCUAGCUCCUUCUCUUUCUCUCUGUCUCUCUGUCUGUCUCUAGCUCUCUCUCUGUCUCUGUCUCUCUCUCUUUCUGUCUAUCUCUCUCUCUGUCUGUCUAUAUCUCUGUGUCUCUGGCUCUCUCUCAGUCUCUAGCGCUCUCUCUGUCUUUCUCUCUCUCUGUCUGUCUCUCUCUCUUUCUGUCUAUCUCUCUCUCUGUCUGUCUAUAUCUCUGUAUGUCUCUGGCUCUCUCUCAGUCUCUAGCGCUCUCUCUGUCUUUCUCUCUCUCUGUCUCUAGGUCUCUCUCUCAGUCUCUCUGUUUAUUUCUUUUUCUCUCUCUGUCUCUCAGUCUCUCUGUUUCUCUCCCGCUCUCUCUGUCUCUACCUCUCUCUCCCUCUCGCUCUCCGUCUCUCUGUCUCCUUCUCUAUGUCUCUAGCUAUCUCUGUCUCUAUCUCUUUCUCUCUCUAGCUCUCUCUGUCUCUGUCUCUCUCUCUCUCUCUCCCUCUCUGUCUCUCUGUCUCGCUCCCUCUGUCUCUCACUCUGUCUCUAGCUCUCUCUGUAUCUCUCUCUAUCUCUAGCUCUGUCUCUGUCUCUAUUGCUCUCUUCUCUCUCUGUCUCUCUCUCUAUCUCUGUAUGUCUAGCUCUCUCUCUAGUGCUUUCUCUCAAUUUCAAUUAAAUUCAAUUGAAGGG
rnacentral:lncRNA from 1 species